rnacentral:rRNA from 1 species
GACGAACGCUGGCGGCGUGCUUAACACAUGCGAGUCGAACGGAAAGGCCCUGCUUUUGUGGGGUGCUCGAGUGGCGAACGGGUGAGUAACACGUGAGUAACCUGCCCUUGACUUUGGGAUAACUUCAGGAAACUGGGGCUAAUACCGGAUAGGAGCUCCUGCUGCAUGGUGGGGGUUGGAAAGUUUCGGCGGUUGGGGAUGGACUCGCGGCUUAUCAGCUUGUUGGUGGGGUAGUGGCUUACCAAGGCUUUGACGGGUAGCCGGCCUGAGAGGGUGACCGGCCACAUUGGGACUGAGAUACGGCCCAGACUCCUACGGGAGGCAGCAGUGGGGAAUAUUGCACAAUGGGCGGAAGCCUGAUGCAGCAACGCCGCGUGCAGGAUGACGGCCUUCGGGUUGUAAACCGCUUUCGCCUGUGACGAAGCGUGAGUGACGGUAAUGGGUAAAGAAGCACCGGCUAACUACGUG